UACGGAGGGGGCAAGCGUUGUUCGGAAUUACUGGGCGUAAAGGGCGCGCAGGCGGCUGCUCAAGUCAGGCGGGAAAGGCCUGGGCUCAACCCGGGAACUGCAUCCGAUACUGGAUGGCUUGAAUUCGGGAGAGGGAUGCAGAAUUCCAGGUGUAGCGGUGAAAUGCGUAGAUAUCUGGAGGAAUACCGGUGGCGAAGGCGGCAUCCCGGACCGACAUUGACGCUGAACGGCGAAAGCUAGGGGAGCAAACGGG
rnacentral:rRNA from 1 species